rnacentral:lncRNA from 1 species
AUGUAAUCAGAUAGCAAAAGGUCAAGGCAUAUUAUUACUAAAUUUCAGUUAGUAAUUCAAAAGGUUUUUGUAUUAACACAUACUCAACUAUAAAAGGCAGCACACACACAGGCUACAAAGGGGGGAGUCACAGGAAUAGAAAGACUCAAUGUUGCCAUCACGGCACCCUUAGUUGUCUGUGUUAUAUUAUUGCUAACACAUAAGCCCCAAACGAUACAGAGAUCAGAGAGAGAACAACCAGAAAAGGCAGAAAUAAUCAGGGCACAUAUUCACAUCAUAUAAACAGAGAGCAAUUCCUAUCAAUACACAUAACAGAUCAGAGAAUACGCUACACAUUAGGGCAGGCAGAAAUCAUACAACAUGUGCAUCACAUAAAUUCAGGAACAGGUAGACAUCAUAUACAUGCACUCAGUGAAAACCCAGACAACAAAACACAGAGAUACAUAUCAUACAGCAGAAUCAGAGAUAUAUCUAUAUCAUGCAUACAUAGAGAAAAACAUCUGGGAACAAAGAAUCAACACGCAAAAAGACAAAAGAAAGAAGCAUACAUCCAGGUAAGCAUUCGAAACAUAAAAAUGCCUUCAAUAUGAGCAUCAACGCAUAUAUAUAUAUAUAUGAGAUAAAAAUGCCCUGUUUCAUUUGAUUUAUGUUAUAGACUUACAAUAUGAGCAUCAACGCAUAUAUAUAUGAGAUAAAAAUGCCCUGUUUCAUUUGAUUUAUGUUAGAGACUUACAUGGUUAGUUCAUAAAUGUUUCUAAUUGGUCAUAUAAAAUACAUAUUGAUUUCAACAGAAACAUAUCUAUUUGCACUCAUAUAUAUUACGGUUCAUUUCUGGUUAACUGUUUGUCCAAAUCGGUUAUCUGUGAUAGAUUAAGUUCAUGCUGUAAAAUUGAAUGAAAAGGAUAAAAAUCCUUACCGGAAUCCUCUAGGUUUUGUGCCGAUGCCAAAUAGCAACCUUAAUGUUAUCCCCACCGAAUGAAAUCACAUAUUUAAUCCACUCCUUGGCCUUAAUGAACCUCAGUGGUGAUAACGAGAAUCAGAAACAACAACAAAAAAUAACAAUGCGAAACAAAUGGAGUAGGGUUCGUUACCGACCCGAAGCCACUUCGAUCUGGCCAGGAAUCACCUACGGGAGUGAUCCUCUUUCAUCAUCACGAACCUCCGUCACCACCGAGAGUCAUCACGAGUCGCCGUCAAUGGAGGACCUACGCCGUCAUGAACCAGGGUCGUCACGAACCAGCGACACUUCGCUCUUAAUCGCGUAGCAACUAGAAGCCAAGAAGAAGACGACCUCAAGGUUUUACCAUUACCGUGUCGGCACGGCCAGCUCAGUCCCAACCGUGAAUGCAUCUCCAUUGCCGUAAAAGAGAUGGAGGAGACAAGGAGAGACGGUGGCCUUUUCACCACCGUUAAGAACGAAAAAGAAAGACUAGUGGGGGAUAACCACCAUGAACCACCCUUGGCCGUGACUUUUGUUCAUCACCGUCGCUGGAGGACGAGAAUCAAUCACCAUCUCCGCCGCGCAGAGAGAAAGAAAUUGGGGAAGAAAGGAGAAUUAGAGAUUUGAAAUCCCAUUUGGGUUUCAUGGUUCUAAAAGAACCCGUACAUCCAUUUCAAUUUACCCAUUCAUAUAACUUUCUUUACUUUCUUCUUUUUAUUCAUUUAAUUCUUUUGUUGCUUUAAUAUAUAUGUAUAUUUUAUUUGCUAAUAUCAUUUGUUUAAGAAAUUCCAAUAAAACAAAUGCUAAUUAAUAAACCUAUCAUAACUCUUGGAUAAUUGUAUAUUUCAGCUAAAUUGAAUUAAUGUUCGUUUUAAUACAAAAAUAAAACAUUAUAAAAAAUAACUCAACGCUAUAAAUCAUAUUAAUAUUUGUUCUACCAAAAUCUAAUAAAAAUCAUUCAUCAUAUGAUAAAGGAUAAUAACUACCAAUAAUAACAAUAAUUAGAACAUUUUUACUAUAACAACAAAGAUUAUUAAUAGAAUCACAUGAAAAUUCUUAUAAAUGUUUUUGAUAUAAUUUUGGGAGUUAAUCAAAGAUGAAGAGAAUAUCAUAAUUUUAAAUAUAUAUGUAAUAUUAUUAAGGGUUAUUAAAAAAAGAGAAAGUGGUUAAUUUUUGAAAUUUAUGAUAUCGUAAAUUGUUAUAAUUUCAUUUGUGAUAUUGUUAUAUUAUAAUUAAUUAUAUAAUAUAUAAUUAUAUAUGACGUCGUCUGGUCCGACCGAAUGGCCUAACCGGUUAAAAACUAUACAGGAUGUCUUCUGGGUUAAUUUUGGCUCAGUUCUCAUACUACUGAUAUCAUCCUCUGUUUAUAAAAAUGUUUUGUUGAAAAAUAAUUAUAAGGAAAAGGACAACCCCAUCAACGAAUAUUUAUUAAUUAAAUAUAUUUUUUAUUUAUUGCAAAUAGAUUUUAUUGUAUUUUGAAAGAUCGUUACUUAAUUCUUUGUAAUAUGAAGGUACAAGGAAAUAUAUAGUGUAUGUAAAACAUGUUACUUUUUUAUCUUACAGGUUUCAGUCAUGGAGCGAAAUGCAACUUGUUUUGUGAAUCUGGUACUUUGAAUUAAGGUGGAGUAUUUGAAGUUUUUGAAUGUUAAGGCC